rnacentral:rRNA from 1 species
UACGGGGGGGGCAAGCGUUGUUCGGAAUUACUGGGCGUAAAGCGUGCGCAGGCGGUCUGUUAAGACAGAUGUGAAAUCCCCGGGCUUAACCUGGGAACUGCAUUUGUGACUGGCAGGCUAGAGUAUGGCAGAGGGGGGUAGAAUUCCACGUGUAGCAGUGAAAUGCGUAGAGAUGUGGAGGAAUACCGAUGGCGAAGGCAGCCCCCUGGGCUAACACUGACGCUCAGGCACGAAAGCGUGGGGAGCAAACAGG